UCGUUAGAGACCAACAGGGAUUGCCCUAGUAACGGCGAGUGAAGCGGCAACAGCUCAAAUUUGAAAUCUGGCGUCUUUGGCGUCCGAGUUGUAAUUUGCAGAGGGCGCUUUGGCAUUGGCAGCGGUCCAAGUUCCUUGGAACAGGACGUCACAGAGGGUGAGAAUCCCGUACGUGGUCGCUAGCCUUUACCGUGUAAAGCCCCUUCGACGAGUCGAGUUGUUUGGGAAUGCAGCUCUAAAUGGGAGGUAAAUUUCUUCUAAAGCUAAAUACUGGCCAGAGACCGAUAGCGCACAAGUAGAGUGAUCGAAAGAUGAAAAGCACUUUGGAAAGAGAGUUAAAAAGCACGUGAAAUUGUUGAAAGGGAAGCGCUUGCAGCCAGACUUGCCUGUAGUUGCUCAUCCGGGUUUUUACCCGGUGCACUCUUCUACGGGCAGGCCAGCAUCAGUUUGGGCGGUUGGAUAAAGGUCUCUGUCAUGUACCUCCUCUCGGGGAGAUCUUAUAGGGGAGACGACAUGCAACCAGCCUGGACUGAGGUCCGCGCAUCUGCUAGGAUGCUGGCGUAAUGGCUGUAAGCGGCCCGUCUUGAAACACGGACCAAGGAGUCUAACAUCUAUGCGAGUGUUUGGGUGUCAAGCCCGAACGCGUAAUGAAAGUGAACGGAGGUGGGAACCUUUCGGGGUGCACCAUCGACCGAUCCUGAUGUCUUCGGAUGGAUUUGAGUAAGAGCAUAGCUGUUGGGACCCGAAAGAUGGUGAACUAUGCUUGAAUAGGGUGAAGCCAGAGGAAACUCUGGUGGAGGCUCGCAGCGGUUCUGACGUGCAAAUCGAUCGUCAAAUUUGGGCAUAGGGGCGAAAGACUAAUCGAACU
rnacentral:rRNA from 1 species